UACGGAGGGUGCAAGCGUUAUCCGGAUUUAUUGGGUUUAAAGGGUCCGUAGGCGGACUUAUAAGUCAGUGGUGAAAGCCUGUCGCUUAACGAUAGAACUGCCAUUGAUACUGUAAGUCUUGAGUAUAUUUGAGGUAGCUGGAAUAAGUAGUGUAGCGGUGAAAUGCAUAGAUAUUACUUAGAACACCAAUUGCGAAGGCAGGUUACCAAGAUAUAACUGACGCUGAGGGACGAAAGCGUGGGGAGCGAGCAGG
rnacentral:rRNA from 1 species